GACAGAGGGUGCAAACGUUGUUCGGAAUUACUGGGCGUAAAGCGCGUGUAGGCUGCUUCGCAAGUCGGAUGUGAAAUCCCCGGGCUCAACCUGGGAAUGGCAUUUGGGACUGCAAGGCUGGAGUGCGGCAGAGGAGACUGGAAUUCCUGGUGUAGCAGUGAAAUGCGUAGAUAUCAGGAGGAAUACCGAUGGCGAAGGCAGGUCUCUGGGCUGACACUGACGCUCAUGCACGAAAGCGUGGGGAGCAAACAGG
rnacentral:rRNA from 1 species